CUCCUAGGCAGAUUGCCUACCACGGCUGACGACCUCCACCUGGCCGGGUUUAUUGUUCGGAGUUUGCUCUCCUAGGCAGAUUGCCUACCACGGCUGACGACCUCCACCUGGCCGGGUUUAUUGUUCGGAGUUUGCUCUCCUAGGUGAAUUGCCUACCACGGCUAACGAGCUCCACCUGCCCGGGUUUAUUGUUCGGAGUUUGCUCUCCUAGGUGAAUUGCCUCCCACGGCUAACGACCUCCACCUGCCCGGGUUUGUUUAGAGUUUGCUCUCCUAGGUGAAUUGCCUCCCACGGCUAACGACCUCCACCUGCCCGGGUUUGUUUAGAGUUUGCUCUCCUAGGUGAAUUGCCUCCCACGGCUAACGACCUCCACCUGCCCGGGUUUGUUUAGAGUUUGCUCUCCUAGGUGAAUUGCCUCCCACGGCUAACGACCUCCACCUGCCCGGGUUUGUUUAGAGUUUGCUCUCCUAGGUGAAUUGCCUCCCACGGCUAACGACCUCCACCUGCCCGGGUUUGUAUAGAGUUUGCUCUCCUAGGCAGAUUGCCUACCACGGCUAACGAGCUCCACCUGCCCGGGUUUAUUGUUCGGAGUUUGCUCUCCUAGGCAGAUUGCCUACCACGGCUAACGAGCUCCACCUGCCCGGGUUUGUAGCCGGAAGAUCUCCGGCACCUCCGUCGGGGCCCCGAGGGACGCCGAGGAGCCCUGCCUGGAGCCCUCCAGUCCUGCCAUGCUCGCCAGGGAGACCUUGGGCUCGCUGGCGCUCCACACCCCCGCCGAGGCGAGGAUGCAAGAACUCGCUUCUUAAAACUACCAGACUGGAUUAUAAAAUUAAUCAUAAUUACUGUGAAGGCGCCGGUCACCGCGUUUAUCGGUUCAGGGAUGGAAGACCGACGGGCCUGGGAAACGCGCACAAGCAUCCAAAGGAAUCCUCGCGACGGCUUGCGACGCAGCAUCCGUUUCCCUUUUCUUUCUCAUUCCAAUUUUUCUUUUUUAUUAUAUUUUCCUUCUCUGA